GGCGCCCUCCCCUUCGCGUUUUUUUUUCACCAAGGUGUUGUUUACCCACCCCCUCUGUACGCGCGAUCCGAUUGGCCAUGGAGUUUGGGGGAGCUUGAAUUACUCCCAUAACGACGCGGCCUUCCAAAGCGAGCGCGACGUACCGCCCUCGACCUCCCUCUGCGCGAGGGAUCGCCGCGCACCGAGCCCAUUCCCUGCGACGAGACAAGUCUGGAGCGCGCGCGGAGCGUCGGCGUCGGCGUCGGCGCGUCCGGCCCUCGCGCCACGGAUCGCCGCCGAGACCGCGCGGAGCAUAUCCAUCCCGUCGGCGGCAGCGCGUCCGGCCCAUCCCCUGCGAGACGGAUCGCCGCCGAGCCCAUCCCCUGCGAUCCCCUCGACGAGAAGACUUUGUUUUGCCACUCCCCGUCGCCUGCCGCCCACCGGAACGCCGCCGCCGCGGCCAGUCCCAUAAGCGGCCGCCGUUGGCCGGAUUCCGGCCAUCCCUUGUAUGGCAUUUGCAGCUCUUUGGGAUGGUUUGACAAGGCACAUCACAAGCAAAUAUUGGAGGAGCUACUACUAAAAUUUUGAAGUCAGAUUCGUAGUGCAGAAUUUUGGAAAUCAGAACAACUAAACUAUCCAAGGGUAAGGAUGUUUGGCUUGUGCGUUGGAGAUCGGGUCCAGAUGGAAGCGGGCAGGGAGCGCUGCCCGUGGGGGUAGAGAAAGGCACAGCUCGUGAGUGGAUGGAAGGAGGCAGGGAGCGCCCGGCCACCAUUGCCGGCGAGCCAUCGUAUGGCUACUUUCGCGCCGUGCCGACCCCUUCGAGAAGAUCGACAAUGAUGUUGCCAACUGCAAACGCCCUCUCCGGUUCCACCACAAGUGUGUAUCUAUAGCAACAUGCUGUUCUAUUUAAUUCUUUGGCACUGAUCAUCUUGGUGUUAAACUGGUAAUUCAGGAUCUCUACCUGAAUUCCGGGGCAUGAGACGCAGAACACAGGCUGAUCGAGGAAGCUUUUCAAUUGCAUGCUCAUGAAUAGGCCAAUAAUUAUUUGGCUUUGUUGUAGGACAAGUGCCUGAUUGUCCUGCUGCACAGGCAUACAGCUUGAUGGUCUGGUCUUUGAAAGCCCUAGGUAUUCUUCUUGUGUGCUAAACUCUUAGAAUAAGCUUUUUGUCCCAUUUUGCUUUUAGAGAAUGCUGGAGACAGGCAAAGCUCUGCAAUCUUAUCCCUAUUACUUUGGGUUUUAGAUCAGAAAUGGGGGAUGCGUGUUUCUCUACGGAGCUCAUUGACGGUGAUGGGGUUUUCAAUGUCUCCGAAUUGGAGAACUUCAUGAAGGAAGCUAGAUUGGGUGAAUGCGGGCUCUCUUAUGCUGUUGUAUCAAUAAUGGGCCUGCAAAGUAGUGGGAAAAGUACACUUCUGAAUCAUCUUUUUGGCACCAAUUUUAGGAAGACGGAUGCUUUCAAAGGAAGGUCACUACCAAAGGUAUAUGGUUGGCAAAGGCUAAAAAGUAAAAAGAUUGAACCAUGCACCCUUGUAAUGGACAUGGAAGGAACUGAUGGUAAAGAGAGGGGAGAGGUAAUAUAAAUGACAUUGAAUAUUGACAUUGAAUUAUGUUUUGCACUUGAUCAAGCAAGAGACACAAGAGAUGUUGCUCCAGGAUUCAUCAAAGGUAAGCAAUUCGCGUGGCUUUAUCAUCUGACAUGAUUGCUCCAGGAUCUUUUUAAUUAGGUACUGUGGAGGCGCGGAGGAGAUAGUUGGGAUCAAAUUGCUCCGCGGACAGGUGGAAGGGUCUCGCUAGAGAUAUACAUGUGCGGCGAGCGAAAUCAAGGUCCAAGGCCGCCCGCCUGCCCAUGGUCAUGCUAGCGAGAGAGAUCCAAACUGUGGCCAAACUGCAUUCCACUCUCUAUUAAAAGGCCCUGAGGAAGAGGGUGCUUUCUGCUUACCGAUGAAUCUCAAGGCAUGGUAAUAAUGUUUGCCUCUUAAGCGGUGCGCCGGCGGCGGCGAGCGAGGGGCAGCUGCGCGAGGACCGAGGAGGGCCUCCAAGGUCCACUCCUUCCCCGCUCCACCACCGACGUCCAUUGCAGCGUUAUUUGGCAACUGCCUUCUCCGCACGCGAGCGCACCCUUCGCCGCGAUCUCCUUGGUUCUCACCGACGCCGCGCGCCCGAUGCACUCCACCGAUCCACUCGAACCCAAUGGUUUAAGCAGAUCCGCGCUUCCCCGUGAUUGCCGGGGCCCGUCCGCUUGAAGGCGUACCUCACCGAUCUAUGGUCGCUUUGCCCGCCGGCAUCCUCGCCGAUGCCAUCGUGCCCGAUCUGCGCCCCCGCCCUGCCAGUACAGGUGAGCUCCUUGAGAUCCUUGGAAGCAUCAUUAGUGGGCAACCGGGAAGUACAAGGUAUAUUUGGUUGCGGAGGGAGAUGCUACUGGAGGUGGUUGGGUGGAAGAGGACGAGUUUGCUGGUGGUUCGGCUCCCUCGACAACAUGCUGCAGUGGGCUAUCGGAAAUUCUGAUCCAGAGAAGCUGAAAGAGGAGGAAGCUGAUGUGCAGAUUAGCUGCUGAAGUGGCGUCGGGAGACUAAGGCAGGGUUUAAGCGAUUUAUUUUUGUCGCGUUGGGAACUUGGGAUUCUAAGCACAUGUUCAGUCUUCUUGGAAAGAGUUCAGGGAAGGAUGGAGGUAUGACAGUUCCAGAGAGAGAGUCUGCUUUGGAGGAGGUUGGUGCAAUGGAUGCGGUCUUGGUGAAUACACAUCGGGUUUUCAUUCUUCUGUUCCUUAACCUUUUGCUUCAUGGCUAUAGUGCUACUUGUAACUAUCACUGAAAAUACAAUGUUCAAAUUACAAUUUUCUUUCAUGUAGUUCUACAGGUGGUUUGCAAAACUGGAGUCGGCUGUGAAAUUUGAGUUUUGUUUAAUGUCACUAUUUCUCUUAGCGACAGAAAGAUUAUGAUAACAUUGUUUGCUCACUCUGGAGACAUUGUUUAUUGACAGACAGAGGAGAAUUAUCGCCUCUAUGAGAAUACAUUAGAGGAGCGUGUCAACACAUGUGACAGCAUCCUGAAGCAAUUAAGGCUGCAAUUUUUUUUCAUUUCUUUAUGUUGAAAAAAAUCUGUACAGACGUAUACACCUUUGCCCUUUCAGUUUUAACCUUUUAAAGUGCAUCUCUACAGGUUGAUGAUACAUUGAACUUGUUUGAAGAACUACAGUCCUUGCACUCGAGUGUUGCCACGAAGACUAAAACUUUGCAUGAUGUUUGCGGCCAACUGGGAGCAUGUUUAUGUAGCCAUUCUGAUCAUUUCAUUAUGUUUGUGGAGAAAUAGGGGGCUACUUUUGUGCAAAGCUGAGCAAAUUCUUAGGAGAAUCUGAUGGAGCUGAUGAUCUUGGUCCCGCUGCAAAUAUUAUGGGAUCCUCAAUGAAGCGAACUAAUAUCAAAGUUUAAUUUGGAGGCAUUUAUGGAAUCAGAAUUUUGGUUGAGGAUGGCAUGUGUGCAUCCUAUUUUAUCUUAGUUUGGUAUUAUCUGAUUUAAUCUCGGCGCAUUCGAUGAUGCUACCAAUAUUGUUUGCAUAUCACUAUGACAAGUAUCGAGUUUGCACCAUAUCCUGAUUUGGCAUCAUAAGGAUGCUGUUAGAAGUGAGGUAUAUGUUAAUAUUUUCUGGAUGUGCUACAUUAUUAGCAAUGGUCUGCAAGUUAAUCAUGUGUGAGUUUAAACA